GCGGAUGUAGCUCAGCUGGUAGAGCGCGACCCUUCCAAGGUCGAUGUCGCGGGUUCGAUGCCCGUCAUCCGCUCCA
rnacentral:tRNA from 2 species